UACGGAGGAUCCAAGCGUUAUCCGGAAUCAUUGGGUUUAAAGGGUGCGUAGGCGGUUUUGUAAGUCAGUGGUGAAAGCCCAUCGCUCAACGGUGGAACGGCCAUUGAUACUGCAAGACUUGAAUUACUAGGAAGUAACUAGAAUAUGUAGUGUAGCGGUGAAAUGCUUAGAUAUUACAUGGAAUACCAAUUGCGAAGGCAGGUUACUACUAGUGGAUUGACGCUGAUGGACGAAAGCGUGGGGAGCGAACAGG
rnacentral:rRNA from 1 species